AACGAACGCUGGCGGCAGGCUUAACACAUGCAAGUCGAACGCCCCGCAAGGGGAGUGGCAGACGGGUGAGUAACGCGUGGGAAUCUACCGUACCCUACGGAAUAGCUCCGGGAAACUGGAAUUAAUACCGUAUACGCCUACGGGGAAGAUUUAUCGGGGUAUGAUGAGCCCGCGUUGGAUUAGCUAGUUGGUGGGGUAAAGGCCUACCAAGGCGACGAUCCAUAGCUGGUCUGAGAGGAUGAUCAGCCACAUUGGACUGAGACACGGCCCAAACUCCUACGGGAGGCAGCAGUGGGGAAUAUUGGACAAUGGGCGCAAGCCUGAUCCAGCCAUGCCGCGUGAGUGAUGAAGGUCUUAGGAUUGUAAAGCUCUUUCACCGAUGAAGAUAAUGACGGUAGUCGGAGAAGAAGCCCGGCUAACUUCGUGCAGCAGCCGCGGUAAU
rnacentral:rRNA from 1 species